AACGGCUGCUGCUGUUUGAAGCGUGAUGUCACAGCCACGCGUUAUAGUCUGCCGAGCUGCUUCAUAUACAGCUCAUACAGCAGCGGAGAGGAGGCAGACAGACCGCAGCUGCUCGCAUUCACAGGAGUGAAGAGUUUCUAGACUGAGAAAGAAGUAACUUAUUACUGACCGACACAUAUCGGCGGAUUCCUCCGAGGCUUACCUGUUUGUUGCUAGAAACGACUUCAGCCGACUAAGCAACGAGAAACAGAGAAGUAAGGAAACUCUGCAGAUCAGCCGAGCCUGUGCUUAUCGUCCUGUACUGCAGCAGCCAUGGUGACAGCAGUCCUUAAGCUGUACUUUAUCGGAACGGCGCUGAGCGUCCUCGCAGUCAUUUAUGGAAUUGUGGACUCCUUUGGUGGGCUGAUGUACGAACAAGACCAUCGCUACAUGUGGGACCUGCACCAGCAGACACAGACCGAGAUGCAGCCCUCCUCGAUCAGCCAUCGGAGAGGAUCAGCUGUGACUAGAAACACCGGCUCAUGAGGGAAACAUCUCGGUCACGAUUUACAAAAUGGCAGCUUGAUGGAUGGACAUGCUGGCUACUGUAGCGAUGGAUCAACAGUCAGUGAGACUCUAUAAUCACUGGGAACAACAGUAGUCCUGGUUCCAUAGCUGAGCUUGGACAUCAUUGUAAUGUCUAACUUGCUGGACAUGUUGCACACUGGACAGUUUGUUGAUACAGAUACAUAAUCCCAUGGCAUUUGCUUGUGUUUGUUCCAUUUUGCCUCAACUGCUGUCAAACACUGAAGCAGCUAGCAACUACAAACCUGAUAAAAAAUGCACCGGCACUACUGAACAAUGAUUUGCACUGUUUUUUUUCUUUUAAUGUGUGUUUUGAGUUUCUUUCCUUGAAUAAAAAUGUUUAAAAAGUCUAAA